rnacentral:rRNA from 1 species
UAGUCCACGCCCUAAACGAUGUCAAUUAGCCGUUGGGUCCAUUUAAAGGGCUUAGUGGCGCAGCUAACGCGUUAAAUUGACCGCCUGGGGAGUACGGCCGCAAGGCUAAAACUCAAAGGAAUUGACGGGGACCCGCACAAGCAGUGGAGCAUGUGGUUUAAUUCGAUGAUACGCGAGAAACCUUACCAGCUCUUGAAUCCUGAUUACGAUUUUCAGAGAUGAAUUUUUCAGUUCGGCUGGAUCAGUGACAGGUGUUGCAUGGCUGUCGUCAGCUCGUGUCGUGAGAUGUUAGGUUAAGUCCUUUAACGAGCGCAACCCCUAUUCUUAUUUGCCAUCAGGUUAUGCUGGGAACUAUAAGGAAACUGCCAACGUCAAGUUGGAGGAAGGUGGGGAUGAUGUCGAGUCAUCAUGGCCCUUAUGGGCUGGGCUACACACAUGCUACAAUGGUGGUUACAGUAGGUACGCAAUGGAGCAAUCCGGAGCAAAUACCUCAAAGAUC